GAGUCUGUGGGUGAUCGAAACCCGAUGGCGAAAUGAAAGUGAAGGGAACUUUUUGGUUGCUGAGGUGAGAAGCUCGGCCGUCGUGGCCAAGCCGCAUCAUCGACCGACCUGUUCUAAUCUUAGAAAGGUUUGAGUAAGAGCGUAGCUGUUGGGACCCGAAAGAUGGUGAACUAUGCCUGAAUAGAGUGAAGCCAGCGGAAACACUGGUGAAAGCUCGUAGCGAUUCUGACGUGCAAAUCGAUCGUCAAAUUUGGGUAUAGCGGCGAAAGACUAAUCGAACCAUCUAGUAGCUGGUUCCCUCCGAAGUUUCCCACAGGAUAGCUGGGACUCCACCGAUGCAGUUUUAUCGGGUAAAGCGAAUGAUUAGAGGUCUUAGGGUCGAAAUGACUUUAACCUAUUCUCAAACUUUAAAUUGGUAAGAAGUCCGACUUGCUCGAAUGAAGCCGGACAAUGGAAUGCGAGUCCUUAGUGGGCCAUUUUUGGUAAGCAGAACUGGCGAUGCGGGAUGAACCGAACGUCGCGUUAAGGUGCCCAAGUCGACGCUCAUCAGAUCCCACAAAAGGUGUUGGUCGAUAUUGACAGCAGGACGG
rnacentral:rRNA from 1 species